AUUUAAAUAUACCUUCUUGAAGAAACCAGAGGCCUUUCUUCUGGGCAUUGUCGGCCAAUUGGUGCCAAAGAAGGACAGAACUUUUUUUAUGUAUGCUACAACAGCAGCAAGAAUACUCAUUGCAAAGUAUUGGAAGACACAAGAUCUACCCACUUUGGAAGAAUGGCAGAUGAAGGUGAUGGACUAUAUGGAAUUGGCGGAAAUGACUGGCAGAAUCCGAGACCAGGGAGAAGAGUCGGUGGAAGAAGAUUGGAAGAAAUUUAAAGACUAUUUACAGAAAUAUUGUAAAAUUAAUGAAUGAUUGAAUGAUGUUGGAUAGUAAUUAAGCGGUUUCUAGCUGUAAUGCUUUAAGAGAAUAUGAAAAAAGGGUUAUAAAUGGGUUAAAAUCUAAUGGUAAGGAUUUGCUGAACCAAUAAAUUGAAGUGGAAUACAAAAAAGGGAGGUACGAGGAGGUCCGGGAAACAAGCUAAAGGAAAAUAAGUAACUGAAAAUAUGUGUGUUUUUAACUGUUUUUAUUUUGUAUUUUUCUCUUUUCUUUUUCAUUUUUACUGUAAUAUUUCAAAAAAACCUUAAUAAAUAUCUUAUAAAAAAAAUAUGUAUCAUCUUAGUGGGAAUUUAUCCCGAAAUACUUGUUUUUCUGCAAGAUUUAUCUGAAUAUACGCACUUUUGCAAAGUGAUUUCCUCAAACAGAAUGCAUUUCUGUAUGCUAUUUUCACUAACAUAUGCAAACAAACAAACAAAAUACAUUGUUAGGCACACUUUGUCCCGGGAUAUUCAUUUCCGUAUACAUUACUUGGCUAGAGAACUGCAUUGCAAAAUUCAGAGAAGUGCAAAUUUUAAAUGCCCUUACAUGUUUUAUUUAUUGAAUUUGUAUAGUGUCCUUCAGCCACAAGUCUCUGGGUGGUUCACAAUGCAAAAUCACAACAGAGAAACCGCAAAAUAUGUAAUAAAAAUAAGAACAACAUAAAACCAAUAAUCACUCCCAUCCCACAACACAUUUAAAAAAGCAUCAGAUGUCCAUCAGUCAGAAGCCUGGUUGAAGAGGAGUGUUUUUGUCUGGCACCUAAAGGUGUAUAAUGCAAGCACCAGCCGAACCUCCCAGAGGAGAACACCCAGCAUCUGGAGAUGUGAAUAAAUGUUUCUCUCCUACCUUUGAUCCUAGGACUGUGAUAGUUCCCAGUUCACUUCCCCGCAGGAUGCGGGUGGCGCUGUGGUCUAAACCACCAAGCCUCUUGGACUUGCCGAUUGGAAGGUCAGCGGUUCGAAUCCCUGUGACGAGUGAGCUCCUGUUACUCUGUCCCUGCUCCUGCCUACCUAGCAGUUCGAAAGCAUACCAGUGCAAGUAGAUAAAUAGGUACUGUUGUGGUGGGAAGGUAAACGGUGUUUCUGUGUGCUCUGGUUUCUGACACGGUGUUCCGUUGCGCCAGAAGCGGUAUAGUCCUGCUGGCCACAUGACCCAGAAAGCUGUCUGUGGACAAACACCAGCUCCCUCAGCCUGAAAGCAAGAUUAAUGCCGCAACCCCAUAGUCACCUUUGACUGGACUUAACCGUCCAGGGGUCCUUUACCUUACCUUUACCUCACUUCCCCGAAUCCACUAGGAAAACAUAAGGGGCAAAUGGUAGCUAAUGUAGUGCAUAGUUCUCGAAGCUACCAACAUGAGUUUGACCAAACUGCGGGAGGCAGUGGAAGACAGGACUGCCUGGCAUGCUCUGGUCCAGGGGGUCACGAAGAGUCGGACACGACUAAACGACAACAACAGUAGUGCAUCUUAACGGUACUGAGCUGUCAAACCAAGCUUCAAAAUCUCACCUCUGGUAUGACCUAACAAGAUGGCCUUAAGCCAAGCUUUCUUGGCCUAAGAGCAACCUGUAAAAUGAGGAUAAUCAUAUCUGAGUAUUUCACAAGGUGGUUACGGGAGGAUUGCUAAGGCAGCGCAUGUCAAACCAUCUAUGAACAUGCAGAAGAGUUUUCCAUAGAACACCAUCAUCUAAUGUGAUUAAAACUAAUGCAAUUCUAGGCUGAAUCAAGGGAAGCACCGUGUCUGGAUCAAGGGAAGUCCUUCCUCUUGUUUGUUCUGCAGUCUUCCAACAGUUUGCAUCACUGGAUGACCCUGGGUUCAAGUAUUAUAAGAUGGGAGAACAAAAAUCUCUCUGCUCCCACCUCCUCCCAACACACCCACUUCCUUCCCGAAACAACUUCCACUUGUUGCCUGUCCUAUGAGGGACAUCUGUCAGGCUCUGGGGACUCAGCUUCUUCUCCCCUUUGGCCGUAGAUAGGCAGGACAAGUAGAUAAGCAGUAGAUAUAGGGGCGCUGUGGGUUAAACCACAGAGCCUAGGAGUUGCCGAUCAGAAGGUCAGUGGUUCAAAUCACCGCAACGGGGUGAGCUCCCAUUGCUCGGUCCUUGCUCCUGCCAACCUAGCAAUUCGAAAGCACGUCAAGGUGCAAGUAGAUAAAUAGGUACCACUCCGGCGGGAAGGUAAACGGUGUUUCCGUGCACUGCUCUGGUUCGCCAGAAGCGGCUUGGUCAUGCUGGCCACAUGACCCAGAAGCUGUACGCCGGCUCCCUCGGCCAGUAAAGCGAGAUGAGCGCCGCAACCCCAGAGUCGUCCGCGACUGGACCUAACGGUCAGGGGUCCCUUUACCUUUAAGCAGGACAAAGCAAAAAGAGUCCCUUACCAUUUAAAGAGUCUUUAAUGAUCACAGCAAAAGAACAAAGCAUCCAUUCUAGGAAUGAAGGUAUUCCCAGUUAAGGAUUCCACUCACUUCCCCCCUCGUCAUUUCCGUUUUGCAACCUGAUCUCGCAACCAUUGUGCUUUUUGUGCAGCCACCUUAUCUGCACGAAGCGACCUUGGACUGAUAUGCUGAAUACUUCCCAGUGAGAGAGAGUCUGUUAGGUCUCCCUCUCUUUUCCUGUUCUUCUUCACUUUGCUGUUCACCCCCCAGUUCUUCCCAACUUUUGUCUUCUGAACUAUGCCCCUCUGCAAACCACUGUUCUAAAUCUAUACUGCUCCACUGUUCCUGGGCAGCUUCAGGAUCGUGGUCAGGAUCAGGGCCAAGGCGAGGCUCCCACCAUUCCUCAUCAGAGCUGUACUCCUUGGCCCGGUCUCUGACACCAUCUUUCCAACCACAAAAUCACCAAAUAGCAUUGCUACAUAGACAGUGACACCAACGAGACCCUCUCUUCCCACUGGUUUUCCUCUCUCUUCCACCUCUUCCUUUCCCUUCGCUUCUCUCCUUCCACUCCCAUCCCUCCCUCCUCCCUCCAUCUUCCUCCGUCCUUUUAUAUUGGCAAUAGGCAUACCUGUCAACUUUUCCCUUUUCUUGCGAGGAAUUCCUAUUCGGAAUAAGUUGAUAGCUAUGACGAUAGGUCUGAGAGGUAACUUCUUCUGAAAGUUAGACUGCGACUCUCCGCGACGGUAGGACUUGUCAAUUUAGAAGAAACUAUGGGAUGGGGUUGGGUGGGGGGUGGCAAGAGAGAGUAGAGAACAGAUCCGUAAAGAAGCAUGGGAAGAAUUAGUCUCCCUGGGGGGGAAAGAAAUCAGUCUGGAGGGAAAGUUUAAUUAAAAAGAGCAGAGUUUUUAAUUACCAGGGAAAUGUACUUGAAUGGUUGAUUUGCAUAAUCCCAGCGGCAGUGGGGGAACAGGCAGGGAGAAGAUAAGGUUUUUCGUUUCCUUUACAAUCGUUCUCUUGUUCUUUGCUAUCUCGCUGAAAGGAACUUUGAUCCCCAGCCCUUCCCUCCAACAGCAGCCCUGACUGCCAUCUUGCAUCUUGCAGUCAGGACUCCUGUAUGGAGGGCUGCGGCCGUCUGUUGCUUUGAGGGGGGGAGCUUGGUGGAAACAAAGGGCUUUGCUCCUUUCUCAGAGUCAUCCACUGAAAUGCAAUUUCCCCUCCUGUAAAACACACACGCGCACACAAACACACACUUUCUUCUUGUUGUUAAUGCUGUCAGGAAACGUGAACUUUUCAGGCGCUCAGCUAAUGUGUUGCAAUUGCCUUGGGGAAGGGUCUACAUUGCCUACACCCACUGCUGGCCCUCAAAAGGGUGGGUCGCCCCCAAUGCUGUCACCCCAGCUGUGGAAGAAUAGAGGGAGCUGGUAGGAAGACAUUUCACAACUGAGUAAUGUGUGUGUGUGUGUGUGUGUGUGUGUGUGUGUGUGUUUGAGAGAGAGAAAAAAACCUUGGCCACAUUCACAGCAUACUUUUAAAGCACCACAAUACAGUCAUACCUCGAGUUUUACAGACACUUCAGGUUGCGUGAUUUUGGGUUGUGUACUGCACCAAACUUGGAAGUACCAGUACCAGAAUGGGUUACUUCCGGGUUUCGGCGCUCGUGCAUGCACAGAAGUGCUAAAUCGUGCUUUGUGCAUGCGCAGAAGUGCCAAAUUGUGAGCCGCACGUGCGCAGACACGACACUGCGGGUUGCGGAUGCUACGGGUUGCGAACGUGCUUCCCAUACGGAUCACGUUCGCAACCCGAGCGUCCACUGUAUCCCUUUAAACAGUUGCAGCUUCCCCCAAUUAAUUCUGGGAACUGUAGUUUAUUCAGGAUACUGACACUUGUUAAGGUAAAGGUAAAGGGACCUGUGACCGUUAGGUCCAGUCGUGGCCGACUCUGGGGUUGCAGCGCUCAUCUCGCUUUACUGGCCGAGGGAUCCGGCGUACAGCUUCUGGGUCAUGUGGCCAGCAUGACUAAGCCGCUUCUGGUGAACCAGAGCAGUGCACGGAAAAGCCGUGUAACUUCCCGCUGGAGUGGUACCUAUUUAUCUACUUGCACUUUGACGUGCUUUCGAACUGCUAGGUUGGCAGGAGCAGGGACCGAGCAACGGGAGCUCACCCCAUCAUGGGGAUUUGAACCGCCGACCUUCCGAUCCGAUCGGCAAGCCCAAGCCCAAGGUUUAGACCACAGUGCCACCCGCAUCCCUGACACUUGUUAAGAGGCCCCUGCAAUUUCCAGAGUGGUUUAAUGGUCAAUCUCUCUUCACUGAAUCCUAGAAUCGUAGACUUGGAAAGGGAUGCCAAGGGGAUGCCAAGUCCAUCCUUGGCAUGAAAGAAUCACAAUGAAAGAAUCCCCAACAGAUGACCAUCUGACCUCCAAAGAAGGAGAGCCCACCACCUUCUGAGGGAGCCCAUUCCACAUGCGACAUCAUGUGCGCACAAUGUCCCCCUCCCUCCAAUGUUGUGCGCAAUUCAGUGCCUCUGAUCUGGAACACUCUGGAGCCGGGGAGCGGGCAGCUAAAUCCGAAAAAAUAAAAAAUAAACCUCCAAUGGUGAAUUUGAAGAAGAAAAUAUUGCUAUCUCUACUUGGGCUGAGGGGCUAGGAAAUUUACCAGAAAUAGAUCCUUCUGAUAACAAGGAGAGAAGAGAAACAGCCCGCGGGGGAAGAGAGGUUUAGCUAUAGAGGAGCUACCUCAAUGGAGAAAACACAUAAGACCCUGCUCCUAUUCAGCUGUUUGUUUGCUUCCUUGUUCAGUGUUUUGAGUCUGAAAGGGGUUGCAGGUUGUAUUGAAAGCCCCUCCUCACCCAGAUCACUUCCCCUGAUGCUUUGAAGUGCUAUUCACCGCCUCCGGUCCAUUACUUAGCCAUGAUUAAGUGCGCCAUAAUGGUUCCCCUCCCCCUCUUCCAUUCUUCCAAAUCAAUUUUCUAGGCUUUGUCAAUGGCACUUUUUUUUUCCCCUCCCAGGGUGGGGGGAAAGAUGAGAGAUAAAAGCCAAUCAGGCUUUAGAUCCAGGGAAUGUUUUCACAGACAGAGAGAAGAGGACGGCGAUUAUUGCGGCAAAUUAUAGACUAUCUUCCCUGGGUAUCUGUGUAGCCGGCUGAGCUGAAAACGGAAAAUCCGAGGCCCACAAAGCAAAUAUAUAACAAUAGUGCUUCAAAAGCUAUACAGUCAUACCUCAUGUUAUGUUUGCUUCAGGUUGAGCAUUUUCAGGUUGCGUCCUGCGGCGACCCGGAAGUAAUGGAAUGGGUUACUUCCGGUUUUCGCUGCUCGCGCGUGCAUAGGCACGCAAAAUGAUGUCACGAGCAUGCGCAGAAGCAGCAAACCAUGGCCCGCGCAGACACGGGUGGCAUUCUGUUCAGGUAGCGAACUGGCCUCUGGAAUGGAUCCCAUUCACAACCAGAGGUACCACUGUACAGUGGUCCCUCAGGUUAAGUACUUAAUUCAUUCCGGAGGUCUGUUCUUAACCUGAAACUGUUCUUAACCUGAAGCACCACUUUAGCUAAUGGGGCCUCCCGCUGCCGCUGCGCCUCCAGAGCACGAUUUCUGUUCUCAUCCUGAAGCAAAGUUCUUAACCUGAAGCAUUAUUUCUGGGUUAGCGGAGUCUGUUACCUGAAGCGUAUGUAACCUGAAGCGUAUGUAACCUGAGGUACCACUGUACAUAUAAAUACAUAUAUACAGUGGUGCCUCGCAAGACGAAAUUAAUCCGUUCCAUGAGUCUCUUCGUCUUGCGGUUUUUUCGUCUUGCGAAGCACGGCUAUUAGCGGCUUAGCGGCUUAGCGGCUAUUAACGGCUUAGCGGCUUUAAGAAAAAGGAAACAAACUCACAAGAACUUGCAAGACGUUUCGUCUUGCGAAGCAAGCCCAUAGGGAAAUUCGUCUUGCGGAACGACUCAAAAAACGCAAAACCCUUUCGUCUAGCGAGUUUUUCGUCUUGCGAGGCAUUCGUCUUGCGGGGCACCACUGUAUGUGAAUAAAGUUCUUGAAGGGGAUCUGAGAGGUAAGAGUAGAUUUACCAAGAGGUCUAGUCGUACAUGAGCUAGAGUAAUAUCUAGAUUAGCAGCUAAAUCUGGAAAGUAUGUAUUUAGCAAAUUGUGUCCAUUGCUUUGUCACCAGGGCCGUCUUACCCAUAGGUGCUAGGGGUGCGGGGCACCCGGGUGCUAGGCUCUCAGGGGCACCAGACCGAGAGUCCGGGGCCUGAGAGUUGAGUCUGGGGAAGAGCCCACCCAUCGGUCAGCGUGCCGCGGCAGGCUCUUCUGCUGUGGGAGGCUCUGUGCCUCGGGUUUGGGGCCAGCGAGAUACUGAGGCAGCCGGCUGACUCUGCCCUCCCACGUGCCUGGGACUGGGCAACCGGGUGGAUCUUUGCACCCCGGCAUUGCAUAUGCUUAAGACAGCCCUCACCCAGACCUCCAUCCCAGGGGCACUGGAUGUCAUGUGCUCUGGACACUGUUAGGUUACCUAUCGCCUCUGACCAUUGGUCAUGCUGGCUGAGGCUGAUGGGAGCUGGGAGUCCAAAAAGAUCGUGAGGGUCACACGAUGGCUACCCUGGCUUUAUUCCAAUUGUGGAGACAAAGGGUUGUUAUCUCAUGGUGACUACCCUGAGGCAACAACCUCCAGAUCCCAGUUGGCUAAAUAUGCUCCUAUUUUGGCACUGCUAAGGCACUAAGAUGCACAAGGCAAUGUUUUUAAAAUACUGCUGCUAUUUAAACAAUCAUUCUCCCAGCUAAAGAGGCAAAUGAAUUUAGGAGGAGGAAAAAUUAGGGGGGGGGGUAAGGGAGCAGUCAAAAUAUGCCUCCAAGCUAUUAAUUAGUUAAAACAUUGACAAAAGCAAAUAUUUUUUUUUAUUUUUUAUUUUAAUACUGGCAGCUUCCUAACCACAAAAUUCAAAGAAUAAUCUCCAUCUGCCCAGACUGGAGAAGUUUGCAAGAAGCAGGUUCAUUCUGAACCACAUGUCCACCUGCUCAAGUCUUUUAAUCUCUUUGCAAAUUUAUUUGCGGCAGCCAAGUUUUAUGUUGUAGAGCAAUCAGUUGUUAAAAAGUAUCCUAAACUUCUGCCUGAUCGCUUUCCGUAAGCAAAUCAGCCUGAUUUCUCCCGAUGUGGGAUGCUGUCUUGACUGGCAAAUGAAGGAAACAGAUAGUAUUCAACACACACAUUUAAAGAACUAAUCAGAUCUUACUGCAAGGCACUGCAAUUUCGCUGAUGGGAAACUUUUAUGACACCUUCCGAAGCCCCAAGAUACACAUGGGGGGGGGGACUAGCAGAGAGAAGGUUCAGAUGGAGAGGGUGUGAUUUGCAUACAAAAGGUUCAAUCCUGAGCAUCACCAGGUCGGACUGGGAAAGACUCUUCGCCAGAAACCCCGCAGCACCACUGGCAGUCAGUGUAGACAAGUGAUGGCCAAACUUGGCCCUCCAGCUGCUUGGGGACUACAGUUCCCAUCAUCCCUGACCACUGGUCCUGCUAGCUAGCGAUGAUGGGAAUUGUAGUCCCAAAACAGCUGGAGGGCCAAGUUUGGCCAUCACUGGUGUAGACCAAACUUCCAAGCAUCUGGUCACUUCCAGAUGUUUUUGACUCCAACUCCUAACAUCCUUCGCCAGCAACUGAGAGGCUUAUAUGCUCUGGUCUCCUAAAACACAUCCAGGCCACAGCUUCUGGCAGUGAAGAAGUCUUAAAGGGUAAAGGUACUCCUGACCAUUAGAUCCAGUCGUGGCCGACCCUGGGGUUGUGGUGCUCAUCUCGCUUUAUUGGCCGAGGGAGCCAGCGUACAGCUUCCGGGUCAUGUGGCCAGCAUGACUAAGCUGCUUCUGGUGAACCAGAGCAGCGCACGGAAAUGCCGUUUACCUUCCCGCCUGGGUGGUACCUAUUUAUCUACUUGCACUUUGACGUGCUUUCGAACUGCUAGGUUGGCAGGAGCAGGGACCGAGCAACGGGAGCUCACCCCAUCACAGGGAUUCGAACCGCUGACUUUCUGAUCGACAAGCCCUAGGCUCUGUGGUUUAACCCACAGUGCCACCCACGUCCCUAGGAGUCUUACUCACAGGUAAAGGAAUCCUGCUAGGUUGGCAGGAGCAGGGACCGAGCAACGGGAGCUCACCCCAUCGAGGGAAUUCGAACCGCCGACCUUCUGAUCGGCAAGCCCUAUGCUCUGUGGUUUAACCCACAGUGCCACCCACGUCCCUAGGAGUCUUACUCACAAGUAAGGAGUCUUACUCACAAGUAAAAAGGAGAUUGCGACUAAACGUCAGGAAGAACUCUCUGAGGGUAAGAGCUGUUCGACAGUGGAACGGAAUCCAUCAAAUAGAGGUUGGGUGACUAUCUGUCAGGAAUCCUUCAGCUGUGAUUCCUGCAUUGCAGGCGGGUCAGACUAAAUGCCCCUUGAGGGCCCUUUCUAACUAUAAUUCUAUGAUUCUAGGUUGCGUGACAAGCAGCGCAUUUCUGCCUGUAUUCCAAAGUCUUGGUUGUGACUCAAUGACACGUGCCAGACAAAGUCUUUCAAGGGAGGGGGGAAACGUUCAAUAUUUAUGUGAUUGCAUGGCAUCAUGAAUGUUUUAUCUUUCGGGAAGUUGAAAGGUUCCACUCCCUAAAGACAAAAGUAGAAGAGCAAAUGGACCCUGAUCCCUGCUGUGUUCAGGCAGCAGCUUAUAGGAUAAAGAGCGUCUGGGUCUCAGGCUGCCAAAACAAUGGCGAAACUCCAUACUUUUCAGAUAUGAAUUUUUAUUAGUUUUCACAUUUUUAUACAUUUUAAAGGUAAAGGUAAAGGUACCCCUGCCCAUACGGGCCAGUCUUGCCAGACUCUAGGGUUGUGCGCUCAUCUCACUCUAUAGGCCAGCGCUGUCCGCAGACACUUCCGGGUCACGUGGCCAGCAUGACGAAGCUUCAUCUGGCGAGCCAGCGCAGCACACGGAACGCCGUUUGCCUUCCUGCUGGUAAGCGGUCCCUAUUUAUCUACUUGCACUUUAAGGGUGCUUUCGAACUGCUAGGUUGGCAGGCGCUGGGACCGAACGAUGGGAGCGCACCCCGCCGCGGGGAUUCGAACCGCCGACCAUGCGAUCGGCAAGUCCUAGGCGCUGAGGUUUUACCCACAGCGCCACCCGCGUCCCUUUUAUACAUUUUAGCUCUAACCAAAUUCAUAUAGCUCUAACCAAUUCAUAUAUCAUUCAUAUAUUCAUAUAUCAAAUUACAAGGUUCUCUGAACCUUCAGACUUCCUGCCCUCCCUCCCCUGGGUUCAUCUAUCAUAAAAUAUAUUUUUUUUGCAUCUUAUGCUUUUUCCAGUUGUUAUAUAUCCAUAUAUCCCUAAAUAAUAAUAAUAAUAAUAAUAAUAAUAAUAAUAAUAAUAAUAAUAAUUUUAUAUAUACCCCACCCUCUCCUGCCAGAGCCAGACUCAGGGCAGCUAACACCAGUAAAAAUUACAGUAAAAACAUAAUAGGGGGAAAAACCCAAUUUAAAAUACAGGUUAAAAUACAAUUCAAAAUGCAGCCUCAUUUUAAUAGUAGCCCAUAGAUCAAAACCAUAAGGGGCGGGAAACAUAAGGGUCAGACUGAGUCCAAACCAAAGGCCAGGCAGAACAGCUCUGUCUUGCAGGCCCUGCGGAAAGAUGUCAAGUCCCGCAGGGCCCUAGUCUUUCGUGACAGAGUGUUCCACCACGUCGGGGCCAGUACUGAAAAGGCCCUGGCCCUAGUUGAGACCAAUCUAACCACCUUGCGACCUGGGGCCUCCAAAAUGUUGUCAUAAUCAAUUUCACAUUACAAAUGUCAUUACAAUGCUACCAAUGAUUUUAACUGUUUACAAUGGUUUUUAAAUAAACUACAAAUUUACUCCAGUCUCUUAACAGAUACUUGAUCUUCUUGCUUUCUGAUCUUCCCCACCAGUUUUGGCCAAUUCUGCAUUUUCCAUCAAUUUCAUCUGCCAGAAACUCCAUACUUCCCUUGCUGCCAUUGUCUUCCUCACAGUGCUGUUGGCAACAGGUAGCCAUUCCAAGGCUGGUGUUUGCCAGAUCAAGGUAACAAACUCAGGAUCCGUUUACUCACGAGAUCACCUUACCCCAUAUGGGCCCACUUGGCCACUUUGAUCCGCAGAAUUGGCACCAUUACAGGUGCCACAUAAUAUCCAUUCUGCAUUGGUAAGAAAUCAAUCUUUUAGUGUGACAGCACCUUUGGAACUCCCUACCUAUUGACAUCGGGACGUGGGUGGCGCUGUGGGUAAAACCUCAGCGCCUAGGACUUGCCAAUCGCAUGGUCGGCGGUUCGAAUCCCCUCGGCAGGGUGAGCUCCCGUCGUUCGGUCCCAGCUCCUGCCCACCUAGCAGUUCAAAGCACUCUUAAAGUGCAAGUAGAUAAAUAAAUACCGCUUUAUAGCGGGAAGGUAAACGGCGUUCCGUGUGCUGCUCUGGUGCCGGUUCGCCAGAGCAGCUUCGUCACGCUGGCCACGUGACCCGGAAGUGUCUGCGGACAGCGCUGGCUCCCGGCCUCUAGAGUGAGAUGAGCGCACAACCCUAGAGUGUGUCAAGACUGGCCCGUACGGGCAGGGGUACCUUUACCUUUACCUAUUGAUAUCUGGUAGACACCAUUCCUGUACUCUUUUCAGCUCCUGCUAAAAAGUAUUCUUGUUUAGACAAACCUAUCCAGAUGUUUAGAAGAUUGAUCUGAAUUUUAAUCUGUUUUUGGUCCAUGGUUAGUUAAACUUUUCAAAGGUCUUACAAUAUUGUUGUUAAUUUUUCUGAGUGAUAGUUUUGUUGUUUCAUCUUCUUAUUUUGUAAUUCAAGCGGUGUAUAAAGGGACCCCUGACCAUUAGGUGCAGUCGUGACCAACUCUGGGGUUGCGGCGCUCAUCUCACUUUAUUGGCCGAGGGAGGCGGCGUACAGCUUCCGGGUCAUGUGGCCAGCAAGCCGCUUCUGGCAAACCAGAGCAGUGCACGGAAAUGCCGUUUACCUUCCCGCCAGAGACGUACCUACUUAUCUACUUGCACUUUUAUGUGCUUUCGAACUGCUAGGUUGGCAGGAGCAGGGACCGAGCAACGGGAGCUCACCCCGUUGCGGGGAUUCGAACCGCCGACCCUCUGAUCGGCAAGUGCUAGGCUCUGUGGUUUAACCCACAGCGCCACCCGCGUCCCGUCAAGUGGUGUAUACAUUCUAUGAAAUAAAACGACAAGGACAGUACAGCAUUCCUCUGCAAAAUCCUGGGCCUGUUUGCAAGUUAAUGAAGCUAUUAUUUCAGAAGAACCUCAGCAGCUCAAUAAGGGAUGAGGAAUCUCUGGACCAUGAGUUUUAUCAGGCAAGCCUGGUUACUUUGGCAAAGCUGGGCCAAUGUACCCUACCUCCAAUGUUCACAAAUAUUGAGCUCUGCAUUGCAGUGCUAUGAAAAGAGGAGGAGCGGUGAAGCCUAUUGUAAGCAAUUAAUAAUACGCAGCAGAGAUUCAGAUCCACCAGGCUAAAACAGCACACCUGCUUUUGCAGAUAAGUACCCCAAGCAGCAUUUGUUAGGCUGUGUGAACAAGUGUGGGAAUGUUUUGGUUUCACCCAUGUCUGUGUCCCAUCACCUCUGGCAAUCCAGACUGAAUUGUGUACAGUGGUACCUCGGGUUACAGACUCUUCAGGUUACAGACUCCACUAACACAGAAAUAGUACCUCGGGUUAAGAACUUUGCUUCAGGAUGAGAACAGAAAUCGUGCUCCGGGGGGGCAGUGGCAGCAGGAGGCCCCAUUAGCUAAAGUGGUACCUCAGGUUAAGACCGGUUUCAGGUUAAGAACGGACCUCCAGAACGAAUUAAGUUCUUAACCCGAGGUACCACUGUAUUGUCUUAGGAAGCUCACACAAGUUUGCAACUACAGUGGUACCUCAGGUUACAUAUGCUUCAGGUUAUAGACGCUUCAGGUUACAGGCGCUUCAGGUUACAGACUCCACUAACCCAGAAAUAUUACCUCGGGUUAAGAACUUUGCUUCAGGAUGAGAACAGAAAUCGUGCGGUGGCAGCAGAAGGCCCCAUUAGCUAAAGUGGUGCCUCAGGUUAAGAACAGUUUAGGUUAAGAACAGACCUCCAGAACCAAUUACCGUAAGUUCUUAACCCGAGGUACCACUGUAGUUAUCUGCUGUGCGUGAGAAGGGGAAUGUAAACUCUGCUAAGUAAAGGAACCUGCAAGUGCAGGUUAGGAAGGAUAUUAAUAAACAAUAUAUCCUCUCCUGCCACCCUGAACAUUCCCACACUUAGGACCAAAAGCCUGAGUUAGGUUAAGGCAGGUUUCUUUAUUCUGAGGAAAAUGCUGUGAAAGAAAUCCUCUCUCUCUCUCUCUCUCUCCCUGAAGUUGUAGUAUAUAUGUGUGUGUGUGUGUGUGUGUUUCUUUUUUAAAAAGCCAAUAUGUCCUGUGGCAUUAACAAGCUUUAGGAGGAAGGAGUGCACGGGGGGGGGGGGGGACACAGGUUUGUGUUUUGCUUGCAGCAGAUGUACAAUUUGUCCCCUUGCCACUAGAAACAACCCCUUGAUGCGUCAAAAGGAAUGAGCCUCUCGCGAGUUCCUGAUUGUUGCAACAUCCAAAGCUCUCCCCAGAGACGCCCCCAUUGUUUGUGUUUUCUAUAAAGUGAAAGACGCCUCUCAGUUGCCCUCCAGCAUCGAGGGUUGCAGUAAAGAAGACAGCAGAUGGAUGGGAAAGGCUCUGGGAUCUGAGCAUCGCCCACGCUUCCCGCUGAAGCCUGCAUCCUGAUGCUCAACUUUUCAACUUCUACCUGCAGGGGGGAUUGUAAGAGUUCGCUCCUCCUUUUGUCUGCCCAGUAUCUGCCUCCCUGCAGAUAGAGCUGCCAGCUAAAAAUAAACUCAGGCAAUCUGUAUUCCGGUAGCCCUGCUGCGUGGCUCCAGGUCUCCUUUUGCAUAAGCCUUUCCUUUUCCCCCCUCCACUCUAUGGACACGGGACACGGGUGGCACUGUGGGUUAAACCACAGAGCCUAGGACUUGCUGAUCAGAAGGUCGGCGGUUCGAAUCCCCGCGAUGGAGUGAGCUCCCAUUGUUCGGUCCCUGCUCCUGCCAACCUAGCAGUUCGAAAGCACAUAAAAGUGCAAGUAGAUAAAUAGGUACCACUCCAGCGGGAAGGUAAACGGCGUUUCCGUGCGCUGCUCUGGUUCGCCAGAAGUGGCUUAGUCCUGUUGGCCACAUGACCCGGAAGCUGUACACCGGCUCCCUCGGCCAAUAAAGCGAGAUGAGCACUGCAACCCCAGAGUCGGUCACGACUGGACCUAAUGGUCAGGGGUCCCUUUACCUUUACCUUCCUUCUCCCCCCUCCACUCUAGCACACUCUCUGUCUUACGUGGGAGCAGCAUAUCGAAGAAGCAGAUAUGUAAAGAACAUAAGAAGUGUCUGGAGGCUGGAUCAGGCCAAUGGCCCAUCUACUCCAGCGUCCUGUUCUCACAGCAGCCCAACCAGAUGCCUCUCCUGGGAAGCCCGCAAGCAAAACCUGAGCCCAAAAGCUGGGUGUACUCUGUGUAACAUGCACACACAAGCUGCUGAAUCCUGAAACAAUGAAAAUGAAUAAUAAUAAUAAUAAUAAUAAUAAUAAUAAUUUAUUAUUUAUACCCCGCCCAUCUGGCUGGGUUUCCCCAGCCACUCUGGGCGGCUUCCAACAGAAUAUUAAAAUACAAUAGUCUAUUAAACAUUAAAAGCUUCCCUAAACAGGGCUGCCUUCAGAUGUCUUCUAAAAGUCUGGUAGUUGUUGUUCUCUUUGACAUCUGGUGGGAGGGUGUUCCACAGGGAGGGCGCCAUUACCGAGAAGGCCCUCUGCCUGCUUCCCUGUAACUUGGCUUCUUGCAGCGAGGGAACCGCCAGAAGGCCCUCGGUGCUGGACCUCGGUGUCCGGGUAGAAUGAUGGGGGUGGAGACGCUCCUUCAGGUACAGUGGUGCCCCGCAAGACGAACGCCUCGCAAGACGAAAAACUCGCAAGACGAAAGAUUUUUUCAUUUUCGAGUUGCUUCGCAAGACGAAUUUCCCUAUGGGCUCGCUUCGCAAGACGAAAACGUCUUGCAAGUUUGUUUCCUUUUUCGUAAAACCGUUAAUACCCAGGGUGCAUUGCUUGAAGAGGUGCAGUUGCGACUUGACUUCGAGGAGCAACACAUUGCACGCGGUGUGGUGGCCUUUUUGAGCUUUUUAAAGAGUUUGCUGAAUUUUUGAAGCUUUUCCAAAACUUCUUUUGCAGCUGUUUGGUAAGUUAAACUUUUAAUACUUUUUUGGGGGGGUUUGGAUUUUGGGUUGGGGUGUUUAGAAUUCAAGGACUUGGUGAUGGGGAGAGGUUUGCAAGAAUCUGGGAGCUUGUGUGGUUUUUUCUGCAUUUUUAUGGUUUUCUGUGACCAUUGGGCCAUGUUGUUUUUUUGAAAAAAAAUUCUGGGUUUUGAAUUUCUGUGUGCUGGGUGGCUGGGGGAACAGUUGAGGAGGGGUUUGCAACAGUUGGGGAGGGGCUGGGGGAACAGUUGAGGUUUUUGAAGACUUUGGUGAUUUUUAAAGCUUUCCCAAAACUUCUUUUGCAGCCAUUUGAGGAUUUUGAAGACUUUGGUGAUUUGCAGCCAUUUCGUAAGUUAAACUUUUAAAACUUUUUGGGGGGUUUUUGGAUUUUGGGUUGGGUGUUUGGAAUUCAAGGACUUGGUUCUGGGUUUGAAUUGCUGGGGUUUUUUUCCUUUUUCUGAGUUUACGAAGGUAAGAGCUGUGCUGCCAUGGGACCCAAGAAGACUGCUGCUGCUGCGGAGUCCAGCGAGAGGAAGAAGGAGAAGGUGACGCUGGAAAUGAAGAAGGAGAUCAUCCGGAAGCACGAUGGUGGAAUGCGUGCGAUGGACCUCGCCAGGGAGUACGGCAGGAACCCAUCGACCAUCGGGACCAUCAUGAAGAUGAGGGAGAAGAUCCUUGCGACUGAUGCAGCCAAGGGAGUCAUUUGUGGACAAAAUGGACUGUUUCAAGAGGUGGCAGAGAGAUAUUUCUAGAUUUGUCUGGCAGGGCAAGAAGCCCAGAAUAAAAUUUAAAAUACUAACAGAUAUAAAGGAGAGAGGUGGAUUUGCCCUGCCAGACCUUAAACUUUAUUAUGAAUCAGGAGCUUUUUGCUGGUUGAAAGAAUGGCUGCUUCUUGAAAACACUGACAUUUUGGAUUUAGAAGGUUUUAACAAUGUAUUUGGAUGGCAUGCAUACUUGUGGUAUGAUAAGGUCAAAGCACAUAAAGCAUUUAAAAAUCAUAUUGUCAGGAAAGCUUUAUUUAAUGUUUGGAUAAGAUAUAAGGAUUUAUUGGAAAAUAAAACCCCAAGGUGGCUGUCACCGAUGGAAGCGAAAGCUUUGAAAAAGCUCAAUAUGGAGGUCAAAUGGUCGAAAUAUUGGGAAAUUUUAGAACAAGAUGGUGAUAGAUUGAAACUGCAGAGUUUUGAAAAACUAAAAAAUAAAGUGCGAGACUGGCUUCAUUAUUAUCAGAUAAUGGAGGCAUACAUUUUGGACAAAAAAAUUGGCUUCCAGGUGGAAAAAUCAAAAUUAGAAACAGAACUAUUAGAACCCAAAAUUAAGAAUUUGUCAAGAAUGUAUAACUUGCUGCUGAAAUGGAAUACUCAGGAUGAAACGGUGAAAUCUGCUAUGAUUAAAUGGGCACAAGAUGUUGGACAUAAUAUUAUGUUUGCUGACUGGGAACAGUUAUGGACCACAGGUAUGAAGUUCACGGCAUGUAAUGCCCUAAGAGAGAAUAUUAUGAAAAUGAUAUACAGGUGGUACAUGACCCCAGUCAAGCUUGCAAAAAUCUACCAUUUGCCCGAUAAUAAAUGUUGGAAAUGUAAAGAAACUGAAGGUACAUUUUUCCACCUUUGGUGGACGUGCCCAAAGAUUAAGGCUUUCUGGGAGAUGAUAUAUAAUGAAUUAAAAAGGUAUUUAAAUAUACCUUCUUGAAGAAACCAGAGGCCUUUCUCCUGGGCAUAGUCGGCCAAUCGGUGUUAAAAAGGACAGAACUUUCUUUAUGUAUGCUACAACAGCAGCAAGAAUACUCAUCGCAAAGUAUUGGAAGACACAAGAGCUACCCACACUGGAGGAAUGGCAGAUGAAAAUGAUGGACUACAUGGAAUUGGCGGAAAUGACUGGCAGAAUCCGUGACCAGGGAGAAGAGUUGGUGGAAGAAGAUUGGAAGAAAUUUAAAGAUUAUUUACAGAAACAUUGCAAAAUUAAUGAAUGUUAGAGUGAUGUUGGAUUGAAGUUAAGUGGCUUCUAGCUGUACAGGUUUUAAAGCUAUAAAUAUAUCAAGAUUAAGGAUUAGGAUCAAAAAGGUUAAGAGAAAUGGAAAAAUUGGUUCUAAAUAGGUAAAAAUCUAAUGUCAUAAUAUAUUAAGAUUUAGGAUUGGAAUUAAAAAGGAGGGAAAGAAAUUGCUGGGCUUACAAACUGAAUUGGAAUACAAAAGAGGGAGGUAUGAGGAAGUCCGGGAAACAAGUAAAUGUAAAAGAAGUUAUGAAAAGACGGAACUAUUUUUAACUGUUUUUUUCUUUUUUCUUUUUUCUUUUUUUUUCUUUUUUCUAUUUUGUAUUUUGUAUUUUGUAUGGUGUAUUUUUCUCUGUUUUUGUUAAAAUUUUUCUUGUUUAUUAAUGUGAUUUUAUUAUUUCUGAAACUUUAAUAAAUAUUAAUUAAAAAAAAAAAAGGAUCGUGAAGAACCGCCCAGCUGUUCUGGAGGAGGUCGAGAAGUUGCUGCUCAUCUGGUUAGAAGAGAAGCAGCGUGCAGGGGACACAGUGACUGAGGCCGUGAUUUGUGAAAAGGCCAAGGCCUUGCACGCAGACCUCAUCCGGGAACAGCCAGGAACCUCAGGCGAGCCAGAAGUCUUCAAGGCAAGCAGAGGCUGGUUUGACCGGUUCAAGGCAAGAUCUGGAAUCCACAGCGUGGUCAGGCAUGGAGAGGCUGCCAGUUCUGAUGUUCCUGCGGCUGAAGACUUUGCCUUGGAGUUCCUGGAGGUUGUGAAGACGGAGGGCUACGUUCCACAGCAGGUCUUCAACUGCAACGAGACCGGGCUGUUUUGGAAGAGGAUGCCCAAAAGGACUUUCAUCACACAGGAGGAGGCCAAGUUGCCUGGCCACAAGCCCAUGAAGGACCGCCUGACCCUGCUCUUCUGUGUCAACGCAAGCGGCGACCUGAAGAUCAAGCCCCUGCUGGUGUACCACUCGGAGAACCCAUGGGCCUUCAAGAAACACAAGGUCGACAAGGAGCGGCUGAGUGUCAUGUGGCGAUCCAACAGCAAGGCUUGGGUCACACGUGUGCUGUUUGUGGACUGGGUCAAUCUUGCUUUUGGCCCUGCUGUCAAACAGUACCUGCUGGACAACGACCUGCCGCUGAAGGCUUUGCUUCUGAUGGACAAUGCUCCUGCUCAUCCUAAAGGCCUUGAGGUGGACUUGUUGGAGGAGUUCAGCUUCAUCAACAUCAUGUUCCUGCCGCCUAACACCACGCCACUGCUCCAGCCGAUGGAUCAGCAGGUCAUCACCAAUUUCAAAAAACUCUACACCAAGGAGCUUUUCAGGCGAUGCUUCAAGGUGACUGAUUGCACCACCAUCACCCUGCGGGAAUUCUGGAAGGACCACUUCGACAUCGUCACCUGCUUGAAGAUGAUCACCACGGCCUGGAACGGGAUCAGCCAGAGAAAUUUGAAUUGCGCUUGGCGCAGCCUGUGGCCGGACUGUGUGGCACCAAGUGACUCUGAUGCACCAGAGUCAACAGUGGUGCAGGACAUUGUUGCCUUGGGGAGGACCAUGGGCCUGGAGGUCACAGAGGAGGACGUCAGCGAGCUGGUGGAGGAGCACGACCACGAGCUGACCACCCAGGAGCUGGUUGAACUGCAGGCAGAGGUUGCGCAGGAGCAGGCCUCGCUGGAAGAGGAGGAAGCAACUGAGGAACGGCUGUCCUCCAAAGAACUGAGGGACAUUUGCCAGAAGUGGAAGGAGGUGAAGGCUUUGCAGAGCGGCACCACCCUGACAAGCACGUGGCACAUGACCAAGCGAACACUUUUGAUACUGACGGUCAUGUUGCCUCUCAGGGAGCUGCUGAAAAGGCGGAUGAAGCAGCAGACCAUGGACAGGUUCCUCAGCAAGAAGCAAAGAGAGGAAGAGGAACCUUCUUUGAGUGGUCCCCCAGAGUCUUAGAAAAUGUAUGUACAGUACACUUUGUUGAUUUUUAAAUGUUUUUCUGUCAUGUUUAGAAACUUAAUUUAUUGUUCCUUCAAUUUUUGAAAUGCUCUUUAAAGUAUGUGUGACUUUAAAGAGCAGUUAAUAAACUAUUGUUGUACCAAAUUUGGCUUUGUUUGGACUUUUUUUGACCAUAGGAACGCAGUAAUUGAAUUUCAAUGCAUUCCUAUGGGAAACCGUGCUUCGCAAGACGAAAAAUUCGCUAGACGAAAAAACUCACUGAACGAAUUAAUUUCGUCUUGCGAGGCACCACUGUACUGUAUUUUUUGCUCUAUAAGACUCACUUUUUCCCUCCUAAAAAGUAAGGGGAAAUGUGUGCGUCUUAUGGAGCGAAUGCAGGCUGCGCAGCUAUCCCAGAAGCCAGAACAGCAAGAGGGAUCGCUGCUUUCACUGCGCAGCGAUCCCUCUUGCUGUUCUGGCUUCUGAGAUUCAGAAUAUUUUUUUUCUUGUUUUCCUCCUCCCAAAACUAGGUGCGUCUUGUGGUCUGGUGCAUCUUAUAGAGCAAAAAAUGUCGUAUAUUGGACCGAGGCCAUUUAGGGCUUUAAAAGUCAGCACCAGCUUGACUCUUUCUCCCCUAAUGUCAAUUUUUCAAUUAAAUUUUAAAAUAUUGACAUAUACAUUCCAGAUUUCAAAUUUCUUCUACGUUUCCCUUUAAACUUUGACUUUCCAGCUUUCCUCCCAUGCUGCUCUUAAUCCCAUUCUUUGACUUGACUUUUUAAAUUUUUUUUAAAAAAAUGAAAAGUGAGCAGGGUUUUUACAAAAGAAUGUUGAAUUCUCUGCCAGGUAUCCCGUUUCUGCCAUGCAAUUGUGACCACCUGAAAGUGAUACAGCUUAGGAAGUUUGAGACUGAGACUGUCUGCCAUAAGAAAAUCAGAUAAUUCUUUUGAGGUUGGAAUUGGAUGGCAUCGACAAACCAAGCAGGAAGUAGGCAGAGCCCUGCCUAUCGGAUCCACCGUGGACUUUCUCAUUCCUUAUUAUCAAGGACCAAUUGGAUUGGCUUUUAAAAAGCAUUGCUCCACCCACUUUUGCUUCUGGCCCCACCCACCACAGCCAAGACUGUCCAGGAAGGAAUGUGGCUCUCUUGGGAUGAAAAGGUUCACUGCCCCUUGCAUGAAGACUCCAUUACUGUGGGAUGUGAAAGCAAGAGCAGUCAACAUUCCUAGACUGAACAUGUUUAAACAUGGGAGGAAUGUUUGUUCAGCCAGCAGGUAAACUUCCUGUUUCCUUCUGGGCUGGGACAGACUUCCUCUGCAUGUGACUGGAGGUGGGUGUGGCCUCACCUGUGCAGGUAAUGACAAAAGCACAGGGCAGGGCAGCCAUCUCUCUCUCUUUGACUACAUGCAUCAAAGAAGCAACAUCUGCUUAGCCAAAGAUGCUCUCUUGGCCUCUAGCCAAGAGAGGACAAAGGGACUGUCUCCUUAUGAGGUAUAUGUUACUUUUGUAAGCUAAGUCUGCCUUCUGGGAUCCUAUUGUGAACAGAAUGAUGUGUGAGUAAACCUUUUUAUACUUUUAUAGAAGACUGUGUCAUGUCUUAUCUUUUAUGAGGGAAAAAGGGGGGAAAUACUACAACAGUUAUUAUAGAGGCUUUAGUGAGCCUGAGCAAACGCAUCCGCUGCAAGUUUAAAAAGGGGAUGUUACUCUGCUAAAUUGUGAACUUGUUAACACAAGUUGGAAAAAGAUAUAAUCAAACAAUAUAUCCUCUCCUGCAUCCCUGAACAUUCCCAAUAUAACGUCUCCAGCGCUCAGCCACCCCCAAGAAACUGACCCUAAGAAGGCAGCCAAACAGCUCUGGGAUGGGGGGAGAGUAGGAGCAGAUCCCUCGCGAAGAGACAGAUCAUGUAUCCAUGAUCACAGAGAGAGCAGGAAGCGAAGCAGACCGUUUUCUGCGAGCCAUCUUUGAAAACUAAUAACUCUGCCAGCAUCUCGGCCCAGCCAAGCCUGAAGGCACAGCCUGACCACUUAGUCUCUCUGACAGGAGGAAAUUUUCUCAGUUCCAAGCUGUCGCUUUGCAUUAGAGCAACUCCCUUCCGCUGCUGCGUUGAGUGUCAGCCGGACAAAAGCAGAAGCGCCAGGCCACGUGGGGGAACGCCGAUGACCUUUCGCUAACAAGGAGCCUGGCUUGGCGCUCACCUCCCACCACUCGCUCAGAAGCCUUCAGGGAGAGCAACCCUUACAAAGUCCUGUUCGCAAGAAAAGUCAAAUGUGGCGUGUAGCCAGAGGCUCCCAAAGGGGGUCCUUGAUUCCUCAGCAUCCUCAGAACUUUUUGUGAGUCGAGGACCCUCCACCUACAUAGGAUUAUGUUGCUGUUGUUGUUGUCGUUUAGUCGUUUAGUCGUGUCCGACUCUUCGUGGUCCCAUGGACCAGAAUGCCUAACUGCCAAUACCAGAAAGUUGUGACGAAUUGCUACAAGGUAGGCAAAAAAAGUAAAAAGCAGAGACAUCACCUUGCCGACAAAGGUCCGUAUAGUUAAAGCCAUGGUUUUCCCAGUAGUGAUGUAUGGAAGUGAGAGCUGGACCAUCAAGAAGGCUGAUCGCCGAAGAAUGGAUGCUUUUGAAUUCUGGUGCUGGAGGAGACUCUUGAGAGUCCCAUGGACUGCAAGAAGAUCAAACCUAUCCAUUCUGAAGGAAAUCAGCCCUGAGUGCUCACUGGAAGGACAGAUCCUGAAGCUGAGGCUCCAAGACUUUGGCCACCUCAUGAGAAGAGUAGACUCCCUGGAAAAGACCCUGAUGUUGGGAAAGAUGGAGGGCACGAGGAGAAGGGGACGACAGAGGACGAGAUGGUUGGACAGUGUUCUCAAAGAGACCAAUAUGACUUUGACCAAAAUGCGAGAGGCAGUGGAAGACACGAGUGCCCAGCAUGCUCUGGUCCAUGGGGUCAUAAAGAGUCAGACACGACUAAACGACUAAACAACAACAACAACAGGCGAAAAAACCAAGAGGCUGGUGCCAAUUUGCCAAAUGGAUAAAAAAAAGUUCAACCAGGCCCCUUGGGCAACCAAGGCAACCAACCGAAGUCCAUAGUAAGGUCAAUAUGCAAAAGAAGCUGACCUAAGAGGGACGGAGGGUGGGAGAUCCGAAGAAACUGGGAGCUGAGCACUGCUGAGGCCGUUUAAAUGUGGCUAGCCCCGCCCACCAGCCAGCCCUAUUGGUCGGCUGGAAGGCUUGGCCGUGGCAGCAGAAGCAAUCAGGAGCAGGGAGCUGAGCACGCCUCCCUGCCGCCACGGGAAGCUGCUCCCGCCCACAACCCCUUCCCUCUGAGGGGAGGAGAGGCCUUCAAUACCAGCAUAUCCCAGUCGCGACCAAUGCCCCGAAAAGAAAUAUGCGGGCAGACUUGGUACCUUUUUGUUGUUGUUUUUUUAAAAUGAACCUACUGCUCUAUGGUGAAGGUUGGAAGAUUCAGGACACAUAAAAGGAAGUAGUUCUUUGUGCAGCACACAGGUAAUCUAUGGAACUCCCUGCCACAGGAGGCAAAAGUGACCAAUAACCUGAAUGGCUUUAAAAAAGGAUCAGGCAAAUUCAUGGAGGAGACAAGUGUUGCCACGUGCAUUCUUUCCACAUUCUGAAGUUUUCAAUAAGUUGCGGGGGGGUGGGGAGAGAGAAAGAGAGGGAGAAGAUGGCUUUCAGAUGGCAAAAUUGAAUUCUGGAACCAAGGUUUUGCAUUGAUGAGGUUUUGCUUCCCAAAAUAUUUGUUUCUAUCAGGAUCUCAGCCUUGGUUCUAUGGGAACUUAUUUAAAGAUAAUUAUGAAAAUGUUGGUUGGAAGUGAAAAAAGAUUUAGAAAUUUGGUCAAAUUUGAAACUCUCACUGCUGGGCCGUAUUGCUGUGAUAAAAAUGAAUGUAUUGCCUAGAAUGUUGUUUUUGUUUCAGACAUUGCAAAUUGUGGACAAGAUGGACUGUUUCAAGAAGUGGCAGAGAGAUAUUUCUAGAUUUGUCUGGCAGGGCAAGAAGCCCAGAAUAAAAUUUAAGAUAUUAACUGAUGCAAAGGAAAGAGGUGGAUUUGCCCUGCCAGACUUUAAACUUUAUUAUGAAUCAGCAGCUUUUUGCUGGUUGAAAGAAUGGCUACUUCUUGAAAAUACAGACAUUUUGGAUUUAGAAGGUUUUAACAACGUAUUUGGAUGGCAUGCAUAUUUACGGUAUGAUAAGGUCAAAGCACAUAAAGCAUUUAAAAAUCAUAUUGUUAGGAAAGCACUGUUUAAUGUUUGGAUAAGAUACAAGGAUUUAUUGGAAAAUAAAACCCCAAGGUGGUUGUCACCGAUGGAAGCGAAAGCUCUGAAAAAGCUCAAUAUGGAGGCCAAAUGGCCGAAAUAUUGGGAAUUUUGGAACAAGAAGGAGACAAAUUGAAAUUGCAGAGUUUCGAGAAACUAAAAAUAAAGUGAGAGAUUGGCUUCAUUAUUAUCAGAUAAUGGAGGCAUAUAAUUUGGAUAAGAAAAUUGGCUUCCAGGUGGAAAAAUCAAAACUAGAAACAGAACUGUUAGAACCCAAAACUAAGAAUUUGUCAAGAAUGUAUAACUUGCUGUUGAAAUGGAAUACUCAGGAUGAAACGGUGAAAUCGGCUAUGAUUAAAUGGGCACAAGAUGUUGGACAUAAUAUUAUGUUUGCUGACUGGGAACAGUUAUGGACCACAGGUAUGAAGUUUACGGCAUGUAAUGCCCCUAAGAGAGAAUAUUAUGAAAAUGAUAUACAGGUGGUACAUGACCCCAGUCAAGCUUGCAAAAAUCUACCAUUUGCCCGACAAUAAAUGAUGGAAAUGUAAAGAAACUGAAGGUACAUUCUUUCACCUUUGGUGGACGUGCCCAAGGAUUAAGGCUUUCUGGGAAAUGAUAUAUAAUGAACUGAAAAAGGUAUUUAAAUAUACCUUCUUGAAGAAACCAGAGGACUUUCUUCUGGGCAUUGUCGGCCAAGUGGUGCCAAAGAAGGACAGAACUUGUUAAAUGUAUGCUACAACAGCAGCAAGAAUACUCAUUGCAAAGUAUUGGAAGACACAAGAUCUACCCACUUUGGAAGAAUGGCAGAUGAAGGUGAUGGACUAUAUGGAACUGGCAGAAAUGACUGGCAGAAUCCGAGACCAGGGAGAAGAGUCGGUGGAAGAAGAUUGGAAGAAAUUUAAAGACUAUUUACAGAAAUAUUGUAAAAUUAAUGAAUGAUAGAAUGAUGUUGGAUAGUAAUUAAGCGGUUUCCAGCUGUAAUGCUUUAAGAGAAUAUGAAAAAAGGGUUAUAAAUGGGUUAAAAUCUAAUGGUAAGGAUUUGCUGAACCAAUAAAUUGAAGUGGAAUACAAAAAAAGG